rnacentral:rRNA from 1 species
AUUGAACGCUGGCGGCAGGCCUAACACAUGCAAGUCGAACGAGUGGCGGACGGUUGAGUACUGUCUGGGAAACUGCCCGAUGGCGGGGGAUAACUACUGGAAACGGUAGCUAAUAACGCAUACCAUCCGAUUUCCCCAGAUGGGAUUAGCUUGUAGGUGAGGUAACGGCUCACCUAGGCGACGAACCCUAGCUGGUCUGAGAGGAUGACCAGCCACACUGGAACUGAGACACGGUCCAGACUCCUACGGGAGGCAGCAGUGGGGAAUAUUGGACAAUGGGCGAAAGCCUGAUGCAGCCAUGCCGCGUGUAUGAAGAAGGCCUUCGGGUUGUAAAGUACUGUCGGCGGGGAGGCGUUACCCGCAGAAGAAGCACCGGCUAACUCCGUGCCAGCAGCCGCGGUAAUAC